rnacentral:ncRNA from 1 species
UAAACCCGCCCCUCUGCACUCCACUUCAUGCCUGGGAGCGGGCAAAAGAAAGGAGAAAUCCGCCUUGUUCAGCGGUGCGGCAGUGUGGAGACCUGUCGCAAAGCCCGGAGGACGAACCCGCUUUCGGGCGAGACGGGGAUGCGGAGGCAGACCCGUUAUGAGCAAAAUCGAUGGCA